UCCGUAGGGGGCAAGCGUUGUCCGGAAUCAUUGGGCGUAAAGCGCGUGUAGGCGGUUCGGUAAGUCGGCUGUGAAAGUCCAGGGCUCAACCCUGGGAUGCCGGUCGAUACUGCCGGACUAGAGUUCGGAAGAGGCGAGUGGAAUUCCCGGUGUAGCGGUGAAAUGCGCAGAUAUCGGGAGGAACACCAAUGGCGAAGGCAGCUCGCUGGGACGUUACUGACGCUGAGACGCGAAAGCGUGGGGAGCAAACAGG
rnacentral:rRNA from 1 species